UCUUCCUACUCCCAAAGACGAAGUGACGAAUAACGAAAACAAACAAAAAAAAUACGAAAUUGAUCAGGUAAAAACUUUUUUUUUUUUUUAAUUACAGGGUAUGAACAAGAAAUACAGGAAAUAAAGAAGCAGUAACGCUUGGGCACAAUUGGGAGGCAGCAAUACAGAAAAUUUAUCCCUAACUUGCUGGAAAAGAAGAAGAAAGUGAAGGUGAUGGAGGAAAAGAACUCAUCCAGGUGCACUGAAAAUGAGCGCUCAGCGGGAGGAGAUAUUGAUAUGUUCUCUCCUUCUUGGAAUCUCGGCCGAUCUUGAAAAGUCAUCACGCUCGCUUGCACGCCAACACGCAAAGAGGAGAACACAUGCAGGAGAACUUCCGACCACUGAUGCAUCAGGCCAAUCUUGAGUGGAUUUGCCAAACUUCCACUGUACUAAGAAAAUUUGGCGCACCGGCAUUGAGGCCAGUCCAAUUUACCAGAGCCGAGGCCCGAGGGGGCCCUUACAGCAGAUGCACCUCAGGGAACUGUAGCCGUUUAUCACGCAUGCUAGCUCACAAGCUAACGAGCUAUCUGGCUGGCAAGCUAAUGAGUCGGCGAGCUCACCAGUAGGUCAUGUGCUCAUUCAAGAAGUCGCCACCUGUCUUGUGUGCAUUCAUGUAGAAGUAACACAUCAGGAAAAAUGUACAGACAAGUUUUUUUUUUUUUCUUUUUAAUGUACCUUGCAAAUAACUGGUGAAGCAGUCUAGGGUGCACACUGUCUCAAAUUGGCUCCACUCAGCCCUGACUCUACCAAGAAUAAGUGCAAAAAAAAAUAUUGCAUUGAUACAUAUUUCAUGUUACAUUUGAAAUCAUCCUUUGACUUAAAUGCUCACUUGCCUGUUUUUAAAAAUGUGGCCCUGGAGCACAAAGUUUUGCCCAGUUCUGUCCUCCCAAAUGGUCCGUCGUUUCCUUCCCCGGUUCAGCUGAAGUCAGGCACGUUUUUGUGUGGUGCGCAGCCCGCAACAAUAGCAGCAAGGCGUCAGGUGGACUGCGGAAGCUUACGAGCAGCGGCUGAUAAUUGACCUCGGCCACAUCUGCUGUUUGACUCGUGAAAUGCAAAGAAUCUUUGACGUCAGUGCCAACAAAGCGAACGCCGUUGAGCAUUGCAGUCCUCGUAUAUAAAAUGUGUUUCCAGUUUCUAACUUGCAGCGCUGCGAAAGCUGCAUGGCCUAGAUUGUCAUGUUUGCAGACGACCUCUCUUCCUUAAUUCUCUCCAGCCUGCGAGUCGCAAACGCGAGCGAGCGGCGCUUCACGUGUGAUACUCGCGGCCCCCCCCAAUCUACAGAACACGUAAUGAGAUGUAGAAAGCUUAACGCGGCUGUCAACAGCGCCGUGUGUUAUUUGCUGUUGCUAGCAUCAGGUAAUCCUGCCAGACGGGCGCAGCAUAUGGGAUCGUUAUUUUUAUUUUUAAUGGAAUUUGCUCCCCAAAUACCGUCGCUAUUGUGUGCACGGACUGUACGCGACGCAACAGCAAAGUCCUUUCUCGUCUUUCUACUUGUAUCAUGUCAAAUAC